UACGGAGGGUGCAAGCGUUGCUCGGAAUUAUUGGGCGUAAAGGGCAGGUAGGUGGUCUUAUUUGUCAGGGGUGAAAUCCUGGAGCUCAACUCCAGAACUGCCUUUGAUACUGAGGAUCUUGAGUUCGGGAGAGGUGAGUGGAACUGCGAGUGUAGAGGUGAAAUUCGUAGAUAUUCGCAAGAACACCAGUGGCGAAGGCGGCUCACUGGCCCGAUACUGACGCUGAGGCACGAAAGCGUGGGGAGCAAACAGG
rnacentral:rRNA from 1 species